AGUGAACGCUGGCGGUAGGCCUAACACAUGCAAGUCGAACGGCAGCACAGGAGAGCUUGCUCUCUGGGUGGCGAGUGGCGGACGGGUGAGGAAUACAUCGGAAUCUACUCUGUCGUGGGGGAUAACGUAGGGAAACUUACGCUAAUACCGCAUACGACCUACGGGUGAAAGCAGGGGACCUUCGGGCCUUGCGCGAUUGAAUGAGCCGAUGUCGGAUUAGCUAGUUGGCGGGGUAAAGGCCCACCAAGGCGACGAUCCGUAGCUGGUCUGAGAGGAUGAUGAGCCACACUGGAACUGAGACACGGUCCAGACUCCUACGGGAGGCAGCAGUGGGGAAUAUUGGACAAUGGGCGCAAGCCUGAUCCAGCCAUACCGCGUGGGUGAAGAAGGCCUUCGGGCUGUAAAGCCCUUUUGUUGGGAAAGAAAUCCAGCUGGCUAAUACCCGGUUGGGAUGACGGUACCCAAAGAAUAAGCACCGGCUAGCUUCGUGCCAGCAGCCGCCGUAA
rnacentral:rRNA from 1 species